GUAGCAGGACGGUCGUGUCGCUUGCCGAGUGCAUAAGUCCUCAUGUUCCAACGAGGAAAUGAGACGCAGUUUAUGCCUGGCGGCAAGAGGAAAGUCCGGGCAACACAGAGCACCAUAUUCUCUAACGGGGAGCUGUCGGUGACGGCAGAGUAGCGUGACAGAAAAUAACAACCUCCUUUCUCACAGAGAGGCGGAAAUGGUGAAAAGGUGGGGUAAGAGCCCACCGGGCAUCGUGGCGACACGAUGUGCCGCACGCCUUAUGGGUUGCAAGGCCAUGUAUACCGGCAAGCGGGUAAGCAUCCACAUGCUCGUGAAGAGUGGGUGGCGCCGCAAUGGGUUGCUCGCCCAUCGCCGGGGGGUAGGCUGCUCGAGCGCCGUAGCUUAGCGGGGCGCCAAUUAGAUAAAUGACUGCGACCGCCGCAGUAACCCCGAGGCCUUUCGAGGCUGACGGAAAUGCUGUGACGACAUAACCCGGCUUAUAGUCCUGCUAUCUUU
rnacentral:RNase_P_RNA from 1 species